GAUGAACGCUGGCGGCGUGCCUAACACAUGCAAGUCGAACGGAGUCGUUUUGGAAAUCUCUUCGGAGAUGGAAUUCUCGACUUAGUGGCGGACGGGUGAGUAACGCGUGAGCAAUCUGCCUUUAAGAGGGGGAUAACAGUCGGAAACGGCUGCUAAUACCGCAUAAAGCAUUAAAUUCGCAUGUUUUUGAUGCCAAAGGAGCAAUCCGCUUUUAGAUGAGCUCGCGUCUGAUUAGCUAGUUGGCGGGGUAACGGCCCACCAAGGCGACGAUCAGUAGCCGGACUGAGGGGUGGAACGGCCACAUUGGGACUGAGACACGGCCCAGACUCCUACGGGAGGCAGCAGUGGGGAAUAUUGCGCAAUGGGGGAAACCCUGACGCAGCAACGCCGCGUGAUUGAAGAAGGCCUUCGGGUUGUAAAGAUCUUUAAUCAGGGACGAAACAAAUGACGGUACCUGAAGAAUAAGCUCCGGCUAACUACGUG
rnacentral:rRNA from 1 species